rnacentral:rRNA from 1 species
UACGGAGGGUGCAAGCGUUAUCCGGAUUCACUGGGUUUAAAGGGUGCGUAGGCGGUCAGGUAAGUCAGUUGUGAAAUCUCCGGGCUUAACCCGGAAACUGCCGUUGAUACUAUCUGUCUUGAAUAUCGUGGAGGUAAGCGGAAUAUGUCAUGUAGCGGUGAAAUGCUUAGAUAUGACAUAGAACACCCAUUGCGAAGGCAGCUUACUACACGAUCAUUGACGCUGAGGCACGAAAGCGUGGGGAGCAAACAGG